AGAGUGAACGCUGGCGGUAGGCCUAACACAUGCAAGUCGAACGGCAGCACAGUGGUAGCAAUACCGUGGGUGGCGAGUGGCGGACGGGUGAGGAAUACAUCGGAACCUACCUUUUCGUGGGGGAUAACGUAGGGAAACUUACGCUAAUACCGCAUACGCCCUUUGGGGGAAAGCCGGGGAUCGCAAGACCUGGCGCGGAUAGAUGAGCCGAUGUCGGAUUAGCUAGUUGGUGAGGUAAUGGCUCACCAAGGCGACGAUCCGUAGCUGGUCUGAGAGGAUGAUCAGCCACACUGGAACUGAGACACGGUCCAGACUCCUACGGGAGGCAGCAGUGGGGAAUAUUGGACAAUGGGCGCAAGCCUGAUCCAGCCAUACCGCGUGGGUGAAGAAGGCCUUCGGUUGUAAAGUCCCUUUUGGUUGGAAAGAAAAGCAAUCGGUUAAUACCCGGUUGUUCUGACGUACCAAAGAAUAAGCACGGCUAACUCGUAGCAGCAGCCGC
rnacentral:rRNA from 1 species